AUUUAUAUAAUCAUUACUCAACAUAGUAUUAUGAGAGUAAAGUAUUAAUGUUGGUUUUUACAAUGAAAUUAAACCCACAUAGCUCCGGCUCGGGUAAGCAUAGGCCUUAAGUUACGUUGGAGGUGAAGAGUCAUGACUUCAUUGGCUCCUCCCACAAGUUCACCACCAAUAAACACGGCUGGCACCACCGGAUUGCGGCCCAGCAUUGCCAGCGCAGUCUCGAUCUCACGGCCUCUAGGGAUCUCAUCAAGCUCGUAAACAACAGGAUUAACUCCAAAAUCAUGCAAGAGUGACUUGACAGUGUGGCUAAUGCAGCAAUUAGUCUUGCUAAAGAUCACUACCAACCUCUCGGACACCAUACUCGUAACCCUCUCCAUCGAAGAAUGUUGAGAUUGAUUAUGUAUGUAGUGUGUGAAAUGUGUGUAUAGAUGUUGAGAUUGUUAUGCAGUUAAGUUGUGAGGAAGUUGAAGAGGCAAGGAACGGUAUAUAUAGGGUUGGUGAAGGUGGCGAGUUGGGCAGUGAUGUGUUGAUUUUUUUUAUAAAGAUGGGAAUGUGUUGGUAUGGAUAAAGAUGGAUUUAAUUUGUAGCUAGCACAUAUACGACAUACGAUAAAAAAGAAAAUGCACGAUAACGAAUCUCUGCGUACGGAAAUGUUGGUAUUAAUAAAAUAUUUAAAAAAAACUAUGUGUUAAAUGUCUGGUAUAUUUAUUAUAGCACCAGUAAAACAUUUCAUCUUAAUUAUCAUUUUAUUUUGUCAUUUUAUUUUGUGAAAAAUUUGUAUCAUAUUUUAUCAUUUUAUGUUCCUGUUUGAGAAUUAGAGGUUAAUGUCAAUGUACUGAAUUAAUUAGAUGUUCUGAUUUGAUUAGUAGAUUGGAGUAGCAUUUUUUUGUAAAACUAUUUGGUAAUUAGUUGAUUGAUUAGAUUUUCUGACCUAAACUAAAACCUUUAACGUAAAAAACUCCUCAAAAUAGACUUUCUAAAUUGGCUUUUUAGAUCCAAAACUCUAUUUCAAUUCACUAAGUAUCAAAAACUAACAUUAACUAAUUCUAAUGGUCAAACUUUUAAAACACCUCAAAACCUCUAACCCAAAAAAACUCAUCAAAAUAGUCUUUUCUAUAUUAGCUUUUUAAAUAUAAACCUCUAUUUUAAUCCACUAACUGCCAAAAACUAACGAGUUAAUUCUGAUAGUCAAACUUUUAAAACACCUCAAAAUCUAUAAUUCUGUCCAAAACCUCUAACUUCCACGCAAACACUACAUAUAACACUACUCUUAUACAUAUACUAGCCAGAAGCCAGGCGGAAAAGUCCUGCACAAACAUUCACUAUAAGCAAUACUGUGUGAGCUAAUUGUGGUCCUUGCCGACUUUUAGCGUAAUUUUCAGCAUAUAUGCUGAGUUUAUAAAUGGAGAAAGAAUUAUUCAUCCAAUUGAAAUCUUUAUAUAUAUUUCUCUCUCGCAGGGGACCGUAUAUGCUGGAACAAACGUAAAAGCUUGAUAAAAACAAGAAAGAGGAGAAUGUAGAAUAAAAUUUCGAUAUUGGUCAGUGAUGAACUAGUGAUAAACUGGUUAGCACUGUUCAGACAAAGGGGAGGCCAUAAAGAUUAAGGGGACCCUGGUACGUACGGAGUGAUAUACGUACAUAUAUGCUUUACAUGAUCAUUCGGUCGUCAACUGGAUUAAUCUCUUCGUAUUCACUCCUUGAUGUGUAUGUGCAGCUAAAUAUGCAAACAAAUCAGUAUGUUACAGCGAAUUCUAUACCGAGAAAAAUUUGUGAUGUUUUUUUUGAACUAAUAACGAAUGUCUAAAAUUGUGAUAUUUUGAAGAACCUACUACUCUGAGCUAAAAUGAAGGGAAUUUUCUAUCGUAAAUUGACAUACAUCUUAUUUGAGCUUAAAAUUCGCAUAAAAAGGCUGUAUUUUUGUUGUGAUGAAAUAAAAGAAAUAUCAGAAAGAUUGAAUGUAGGCCGAGUGUACAGCAAAAGAGUACAACUGAUCUUAUGAUUGCACUCAGGUCACAAGGUAUAUAUUAAUCAGUUUCUCCCAAAAGGCUAAAAUACACAAAUUACAUCAUGACAUAAAUGGGGUGACUUAAAUACAGUCCAGCUCCCAGAAGCAUCACUUUAUAUGAGAAGUACUUGUAUAGACAAAGACAGACUUGCAUGAAAGUAACUCGAUGUUUAUUUGGUCCCCGAAUAUAUCUUAUCUAAACUUUAUAAUAUGACUUUGUUCAAAUACAUGUCAAGUAAACUUUCAAGUAAAUUAUCAAGUUUUAUAAACAUGGCGAAUUUACGUAGGAAUUUUCGAGAUUUUGUGGGGAAGAAGAUAAGCAUCAGAAAAGAAGAGGGGCAUGGCUGAGUCUAAAGAAGACUUCCAACAAGUUGAUGCAGAUAAGAUGAAAACCUAAUGCCAUGGCGGUUCGUGGCAUAACCAUAUCAUUGUGCACAGAAGUGUAUAUAUUCUAAAGGAACAUAAAUAAGUCUACAAAAGGAACAUAGCACAAAUCACAUAUAUAGAUUACCAACACGUACAGUCUCUGUCAAGAAACUAACAAGGCUGCAAAAAGAUAUUCUCCCAAUUAGUCUUGCUUGUUGCACACUUUGAGCAGAUUAAUUGUAUGUGGAUUAGAGACGAAGAUCUGGUUGUGCAGGCAAUGUAAAUUUUGUUCCUCGAUCGGGAAUAAUUCUGCAUUAUCUUGAUAACUACGUCUGUCUUAAUUAGGAUCACUGAGUAGCGGGCAUGUGCUUGAUACACAAUCAAUCGCAUGCAUUUUUUUCCCUUUCCGAAUUUCACUGGCGCAGAUUAAUACUGACUCCUCGUCCAUUUUCAAGAGAUUAAAGUUCUUAACUGAGAUUCAGCCGCUGCCCGCUGGAAUUUUAAAUUAAAAGACCACUCACCUCAGAUGUAUGUAUGGGCAUCAAAACGGGUUAUGUGGAAUAAAUUUAUUUAAAACAGGUCGGGUUUGUUUGUGUACAAAAUUUAAACCCGUUGUAGAUCGUCUCGGGAUUAGGUUACACAAAGCCUACGUAUUAUGUGGGAUAAUUAUAUUUAAAAUGCUAGGUGCAACAUAAAAUAUGAUUGUACAUGAUACAUUUCGUUACUAUACAAAAAUAAGAUCGAUUUUAUACUAUACUACGAUUUUGUGACUUACUAAUAUUUGACCUUUAAAUUUAUGAUAGAGCAUCUUAAUAUAUAUCAGGAGAUUAAUUACCAGUAUAUAUAGUUUUGAAUACUUAUUCUACUUAAUGAAUUAAGUUAGCUGCCAUAUAUUCGUGCACUAUUUCAGCUCUAUUUAGUGUAUAUUUGUUUCUAUCAACUUUUUAAUAAAUUAUUUUGUAUAUAUAUCGUAGAGCAAGGCAAGCGACGUUGGGAAUGUUACUGAUGUUGAUAAAAGCAGGAGGGUAAUGAGAGCACCGAUUCCGAAGACCAUGACAUGAGUCAUCCCUAUAUUGUUGUGAUUAGGGGUGGUCCAGUUAUUAAGGGAUAAUAUUUAGCUUCAUAAAUGUAAUUUGACUUCGUAUGGAUGUUUGAAUGACGCGUGCUUUUUCUUUUGGUUCAAAUAUUUAUUGAGAUGUUUUUUAAUGAAACUAUGAUAUUGCAUAUUUAUUUGUUGAAUUGAUUUAUAUUAGUUGAACUGUUUGUCAGAGUAGUAAAAGAUAUUGAACAGGAUUUGGUGUUGAAAAAAUUUGGAUGUCAUAAAAUGGUUAGAAUACAGCAAAAUACAGCAGGCUAAUUCCAUAUGAAUUUCAAAUUUACGACGGAACAAUAUGUCGUAAGUUCAUGUUUUCCCCCAAACUAUUGAAGGGACAUUCAGUCGCAAGAUUAAAGUUGCUCAAACAAAAAUCCGGGAAAGACAACAUACAUAUGACGGAAUCUUUCGUCGUAAAUUGGUUAACUUACGAUAAAUAGUACAUCGUAAGAUCAAAAUUGUCCCAACAAAAAUCUGGGACCCACAAUGUACAUACGACGGAAACUUUCAUCGUAAAUUGGUAAACUUACGACGGUUAAGACUACUUACGACACAUGUUUGACGUUGUGACAUUUUCUGAAACUUAUUACUUGACCAAAAACGAUGGAAAUAGUCCGCCAUAAAUUACGAACUUACGAUAAAAAUGUGUCUUAAUUUGUGUCGUAAAAAUCCUGUUUCGUUGUAGUGAUAGGUGUCCGUCAAAGGUGAAAAGGUAUAUCGCAUAUAUUUUGAGGAUUGAAACGAUGGAAUUGAAAUAAUGGGGAGCGACAGCUACACGGUAGUAUUCUUUAAAGGCCAUAAGCGUGAUUUAACCUUUACUAAUGUAUAUAACCUUAACUCACACAAAACAUAACCUUUUUGUUGCCACAAUGAAUUAAGUAAUUAACACUAAACAACUAAAAAAACUCUAACUUCUAAGUUCUUAUGUUUGCAUCCGUAAUCGUCCAAAUGCAAUUAAUAGCAACUUUUGUUGCUCGUGAAAAUAGAGUUACCUUGUACCUAGCUAGUUGCAAACCACGUCUUUUUUAUAAGUGAUUUUAUGAAGAUAUUGAAAUUAAAAAGAAUAAUUGGCACGGCAAUCCCCCCUAUAGAUAAAUGCAUGAUGCUCAAUCGAAUUAUUCGUGCCUGUAACUUUUUAUUGGCUGUAUAUAUUUUGUAUGUGCUUAUCAUCUCAAAGAUCUGCAUGCUUCUAAUCUGAUCAGGUGCAUAAGGUAGUUGAUAUUUUCUGCACGUCUGCUUGCAGUAGCUACGAUAAAGCAUGCAUAUAAGCAGUUUCUUCAAUGGAAAAUUCUGCAAAUUAAAAAGAAAAUCAUAUCCUUCAUCAUAUAUAGAAAAUCAGCUCAUUAAAAAGGCUGAUGGGUACAUAUCAUAUAGGAACACCCACUUAUUAAUUAACAAGCUUCUUUAGAAUACUCACUCUAGAGAAACUGAUACACAUUAAUUAGUUAGCUACUCGGUGUAGUUUGCAUGUGAAAUGCAAUUAUUAUUAGUCACUGCCGGGUUCAUAUAUAGUCUCUUCAUCAUAGUAACGAAAUGGUAUUGUUGUUAACUUGUAGUAUCUGUGAGUUGAGUUGAACCUAAAGCCACAUAGCUCCGGCUCGGGUAAGCAUGGGCCUUAAGUUGCGUUGGAGGUGAAGGCUCAUCACUUCAUUGGCUCCUCCUACAAGUUCACCACCAAUAAACACGGCUGGCACCACCGGAUCGCGGCCCAGCAUUGCCAGGGCAGUCUCGAUCUCACUGCCUCCAGGGAUUUUAUCGAGCUCAUAAACAACGGGAUUGACUCCAAAAUCGUGCAAGAGUGACUUGACAGUGUGGCUAAUGCAGCAGUUAGUCUUGCUAAAGAUCACGACCGGCCUUUCGGACACCAUACUCGUAACCCUCUCCAUCGAUGAAUGAUGAUAUCUCAAGAUUGAUUAUGUAAUGUAUGAAGAUUGGUGAUAAGCAAUUAAGUUGUGAGGAAGUUGAAGAGGCAAGGAGCGGUAUAUAUAGGGUUGGUGAAGGUGGUGAGUUGUGUUGGAUUUUUUAUAAAGCUAAGGAAUGUGCAUCACUGUAAUGGAUAAAGAUGGAUUUUAUUGGUAGCAUAUAUACGACACACGAUAAAAAAGAAAUUGCACGAUAACGAAUCUCUGCAUACGGAGAUGUUCACGUGAUGACCCAUGGUACGGCUUCAUAUAUGUUGGUGAUGCAGUCAAUAUAUUGUUCUUGGCCAUCCUUCUAUGAUCUGCAACUUCUAUUUCCACAUGUAGACAUGGUCAUAGCAACUAUGAAUCGAAACUAAUCUGUCGAUUUAAUGAUUCAAGAUUUACAGAGAUUCAUUGGAAUUUUUUGGAUUGAUGAGAAAUUUUUAGUCGAAUCGAAAUAUAAUCAGUAAAGUAAUGAAAUUUUCUAAAAUUAGUCGGGACUAAGAAUUGAAACUAAUCGGUCGAUCUACUGAUUCAAAAUUUAUUGGGAUUUAUCGGAGGUUUUUUGGAAAAAUCAGAAAUUUUUAGUGAAAUCGAAGCAUAAUUAGUAAAUCGAUGAAAUUUUCUAAAAUUAAAAAAAGAAUUUUAUUAAAUCAGAGAUUUAAAGAAAAACUAUGAAUAGGUCUUAAUGUUUUCUCUAAAAUGAAAGUUUUUACUCCUAACCCUAGUCUAGCCCUAAUUCCUCAAUGGGAUGAGGUGAAUUUUUGUUGAAGGAUAAUUUGAUAAAAAAAAUUAAAAUGUGUGAAAAAGAUAACAAACUACAUAGAAAAAGAAAGGCGAGUAUGAUGAUUAAGCGAUACUUGUCAGCUAAUUGUGGUCCUUGGCGACUUUUACAUGUAAUUUUCAGGCAUAUAUGCUGAGUUUUUAAAUGGAGAAAGAAUUAUUCAUCCUAUUGAAAUCUUUAUAUAUAUUUCUCUCUCAUAUGGGACCAUAUUUCGAACGAAGAGCUGCCUAGAACUAACAUAAGGUUAAUAAAAACAAGAAAGAGGAGAAUGUAGAAUAAAAUUUCGAUAUUGGUCAGUGAUGAACUAGUUUGCACGACAAGGAUCACUGGGACCUCGGUACGAACGGAGUGAUAAACAUAUUUUACAUAAUAUAUAUAUACACACACAUAAUAAUUGGGUACUCAUCUAGGUAGGUCAAGUAAAACACACAAAUUACAUUAUGACAUAAAGAGGGUGACAUAAAUACAGUCUAGCUCAGUAGCUCCCGUAUUUUAAAAAUCUUAAAAGUAGAAUCACUUUCUAUGAGAAGUACUCAUGCAGACAAGAAAGGCUUACAUGAAAGUAACCCAGUGUUUGUUUGGUCCCCAAGCUUAUCUUAUCUAACUUUAUAACCCACCUUUGUGCAUGUAUGUAUGCAUCAUCUGGCCAAUUUCUUACGUUUUUCAUUUUUGGAUGUCUCGUACUAUGUACUGUGAUGUUUGUAAUUCGAGUAGAGCAGCUCGAGCGUUUAAUUAAAUCCAACUCUGCUUGAACUCGUAUAUGAGUCGAGUUUAAAUAAGAUUUUAUAUCGGUUUAUUUGAUUAAAUGAGCCACGUUGAUGUAAAUGUUUAUACUUGAUUAAGUGUAAAACUAAACGAGCUGGCUCGAUCGAUUAAUUAAAAACAGCUUAUUUCUCGAGUUUGUAUAAGAGUCGAGCUCAAAUAAGAUUUCAUAUAUGCUUGUUUAUUUAAACAAGCCACAUUGAUGUAGAGGUUUAGACUCGAUGGUUAGAACCGGCUCGUUUAACUAAAAGAGCUCGCUCGGUUCGAGUCGAGUUCGAGCUGAGGUUUUGACUCGAUUAAGUUAAACAAGACAACUCGCCCAACUCAAUUAACCUUGAUUCUAAUUAUGCCCGGUUCGAAACUCAACUCGCUCAGCUCGGAUUACCGCCCUACUUCUUAUUAUUUAUAUUUUAAAAUUUAUCAGAAAUAAUAAAAUUUUAUAAUUAAAAAUUAACUAUAUUCAUUACUUUCUUCUGAUAUACUCAAUUUAUACAUUAAAUAUCAAUCAUUAGUAUCCACUUUACCAAUUUCUUUUGUUUCUCUAGCAUUUUUAUACAUUUUUUCUAAUUUACAUGCCCAACCUAUCUGUGAACAGAUGAAGGGGGAGGAAUUACCGUUUUCUCUAAUACAUUCUCUCAUGAAACUCGAGGUCUAACAUUUGUAUUUUGGGUCGUGAAUAUUUAUAUAUGCAUUAUAUGUGGAGCCUAUGCUAGAUCUGAAUAAUCAAUAAGAAGUUGUAUUUAGAAAAUUUAUCAAAACUAUCACAUUUUUUAAGUUUUUUGCUAUUUUACUAUCUUUUGAAAAUAUUGUAAAAAUACUAAUUUUUCAGAAAAUAUUUGCAAAAAUACGAUCUUCAACUAGAUGCAACCAAAUGCAACUUGAGUUAAUUGGUCCGCAUGAAUUACAAAUAUAGUUGCACCUGAUUGCAAGUAUAGUUGCAUGUGAUUAACGGGUGCAUAUAGUUUUUUUGCAAAUAUUUUCAAAAGUAUGAUACUAUUACAAAAUAUUUGAAAAAAACAUAAUAUUUUUGCGAAAAAUGUUUUGGACUGAGUAUUUAUGAGAAAACCGAAAACCCCUUGUAUUUGUAUCUUUCAGUCGGUACCUGUCAUCUAAAAUUCGGGUUGCACACAAUCGUGGCGAAAUUUUGUAGGAUAUUGUGAGAUUUUGUGGGGAGAAGAUAAGCAUCAGAAAAAGAAGAGGGGCAUGGCUGAGUCUAAAGAAGACUUCCAACAAGUUGAUGCAGAUAAGAUGAAAACUUAAUGCCAUGGCGGUUCGUGGCAUCGCCAUAUCAUUGUGCACAGUUCAGGAGUGUAUAUAUUCUAAAGGAACAUAAAUAAGUCUACAAGGAACAUUUCACAAAUCACAUAUAUAUAUAUAUAUUACCAACUCGUACAGUCUCUGUCAAGAAACUAAAGAUAUUCUCCCAAAUCAUGCUUGUGGCAUACUUUGAGCAGAUUAAUUGUAUGUGAUUUAAAGACCCCAAGAUCUUCUUGUGCAAGCCAUGUAAAUUUUGUUCCUCGAUCGGGAAUAAUUCUGCAUUAUCUUGAUAACUAUGUUUGUCUUAGAAAGACGGAAUAGUGGGCAUGUACGCGUGAUUCACAAUCAAUUGCAUGCAUUCUUUUUUUCCUAUUUCUGAACUUCACUUGUUCAAAUUAAUAAUUCACUCAGAUGAAAGUUUUUACAAAUAAUCCUGAAAAAAGAAAAAAAAGUAGUUCUUACACACAAAGUAGGCAUACAAUUAUAGUUUAUGUAUAAUAAUUUCUUGAAUGGAGAAAUAUUGAGUUACAUAGGAUUUCGUGUUUUAUGGUUAGUAUAUAUUUAUUUGAAAUUGAUUUUAGUUGUACACAAAUAAUUUCAUGAGUAAUUGAUUUGUGAAUUUUCUCAAAAUUUGUGUAAAAAAAGGCAGAAAAAUAAUUACAUUAGUAUUUUUUAAAACAACAAGGAUUUUUAUAAAGUUUCCGUCUGGAUAGUGUUUAAAUAAUAACUAUAUAAUAAGUAUAUAUGCAAGAUACAACUUUUAUCUUAGUAGUGUUUAUAUAAGUUAUGCAAGAAAGAUUGUGCUAUUUUUAUAGUAUUUAUAAAAAUAUUAUUUUUAUAACAUUUAUAAAGGUGUUAUUAAUUAAAUUUGGAUGGUGGUUACUCUCAUAACCCUUUUAUGACGCUACGUAACUCUGUUGCGUGGAUCACUAUACAUAUAACCUCAAAAUGACAGCUAUAUAAGUCUAAAUGAGGAGUACUAUUUAGAAUCCAUAUGAAAAGUGAAAAUUAAUAGAGUAAUGUACAUAUGAAGAUUUUUUAUCAAAGUUAUUAUUAUUUAACAUUUUUUUUAUCUGAAACUCAUAUUACAUUAACAGUGGAUUACAGGUGUCCAAUUUUAAAUUUUAAAAAUAUUAAUAAUAACAAGGAAUUGAAUCGAGUCUCCCAACUAUUUGAACUCUGUACUCUCUUUAUAUGAUAGUUCUCUUAAAAUUUUUAAAAUGCAAGUUGGAGACAUUGAUUUAAUUAGAAUUUUUAUAUUGUAAUAUUCGUGAAGUCUACAUGAACUCAGAUUGUUGCCUAGAACAACUUUUUUUGAGGGAGUCACAAAGAAUCAGUUAUAAAGGGUACUUGAAGAAACUUGCAUAACUUGUUACUAUCUUAUUUUUUGAUACCCUCAUUAAAAUAAAUAAAAUAGACAUCAGGAUAUGAGGUCGAUUUUGGUCACGAUAACAUCGGCUAAAAAUUAACUGAUGUCUAUGUUAGUUAUGACAUAGGUAAUAUUAGAUCCGAUGUCUAACUUUAACAUCGCCGACCUAAACAUCGGUCCGUGUAAGUGAUGCUCAAAAACAUCGGCCAAAAACCGAUGUUUAUUAACGUGCCUAUUUCAACAAUGAUUGAAAUUCAUCUGUUUUUAUAGAUGUUACCUAUUGGGUCCAACGACUUUUGAACCUCUUGUAAGGAGAGAAGAAAAGAACCAUUCUCUUAGGAGAAAACUGGAACCAAUCAUCAUGUAUACAUGUUCGAUUGUAGAUCUUGUAAGUACUUAAUGAGUGACUCAGAUGAUUAUGAAAUGGAUAUUCUCCGCACUUGUGCAUGCAGUAUAGAACUAUGACAAAGCAUUCAUAUACGCACUUUCUUUAAUGACAACUCUGCAAAUUAUAACUUGAACCAUACAUUUCAUCUUAAAGAUGUGUAUAGAGGAUCAUCAGCUUAUACAAAAAGGCUGAUUAAUUGGUACAUAUAUAUUUUAUAGCGAAGCUUCUUUAGAACACUCACUCUAGAGAAACGAUUCAUAUCAGAUACUUAUUAUUAUUAAUAGUCUCCCUCCCGGUAUUAUAGUCUCUUGAUCGUCGUAACAAAAUAGUACUGUUGUUAACCUAAAGCCACAUAGCUCCGGCUCGGGUAAGCAUGGGCCUUAAGUUUCGUUGGAGGUGAAGGCUCAUCACUUCAUUGGCUCCUCCCACAAGUUCACCACCAAUAAACACGGCUGGCACCACCGGAUUGCGGCCUAGCAUUGCC
rnacentral:lncRNA from 1 species